rnacentral:rRNA from 1 species
UACAGAGGGUGCAAGCGUUAAUCGGAAUUACUGGGCGUAAAGCGUGCGUAGUCGGUUAUCUAAGUCGGAUGUGAAAGCCCUGGGCUCAACCUGGGAAUUGCAUUGGAUACUGGCAGGCUAGAGUGCGGUAGAGGAUGGCGGAAUUCCCGGUGUAGCAGUGAAAUGCGUAGAGAUCGGGAGGAACAUCUGUGGCGAAGGCGGCCAUCUGGACCAGCACUGACACUGAGGCACGAAAGCGUGGGGAGCAAACAGG